CUCCCAGUGUCCCCAGUCCCUGCUCCGCACUGGGGCCAGCUCCCCCAGUGUCCCCAGUCCCUGCUCCGCACUGGGCAGAUGGGCCCAGUUCUCCCAGUAGCCCCAGUUGCCCCCCCGGGGGGGGGUCCGCCUGCCCCCAUGUGCCCAGGGGGAGCCGGAGCCGCUCAGCGCCGCGCCAAAAACGGGGGGAAUCGGGUCGGGGGGCUUUUCCUUUUUUUUUUUUUUUUUUUCCUUUUU